rnacentral:rRNA from 1 species
AGAACGAACGCUGGCGGCGUGGAUAAGACAUGCAAGUCGAACGGGAUUAUUUUUGUAGCAAUACAGAAAUAAUUCAGCGGCGAACGGGUGCGUAACACGUGGGCAAUCUGCCGAAAAGUGGGGGAUAGCUCGCCGAAAGGCGAAUUAAUACCACAUGUGGUGAGGGACGACAUCUUCCUGAAUCCAAAGCCGGGGCAACCUGGCGCUUUUUGAGGACCCCGCGGCCUAUCAGCUAGUUGGUGAGGUAACGGCUCACCAAGGCUUUGACGGGUAGCUGGUCUGAGAGGACGACCAGUCACACUGGGACUGAGACACGGCCCAGACUCCUACGGGAGGCAGCAGUGGGGAAUAUUGGACAAUGGGCGAAAGCCUGAUCCAGCAACGCCGCGUGAGGGAUGACGGCCUUCGGGUUGUAAACCUCUUCAGUACCGACGAAGCGCCAAUAACGGUGGUGACGGUAGGUACGAGAAGAAGGACCGGCCAACUACGUGCCAGCAGCCGC